UAGGGAAUCUUCGGCAAUGGGGGGAACCCUGACCGAGCAACGCCGCGUGAGUGAAGAAGGUUUUCGGAUCGUAAAGCUCUGUUGUUAAGGAAGAACGAGUGUGAGAAUGGAAAGUUCAUGCUGUGACAGUACCAUAGGAAUAAGGACCGGCUAAUUACGUGCCAGCAGCCGCGGUAAUACGUAAGGUCCGAGCGUUGUCCGGAAUCAUUGGGCGUAAAGGGUACGUAGGCGGGUAAGCAAGUUAGAAGUGAAAUCCUGUAGCUCAACUACAGUAAGCUUUUAAAACUGCUCAUCUUGAGAUAUGGAAGGGAAAGUGGAAUUCCUAGUGUAGCGGUGAAAUGCGCAGAUAUUAGGAGGAAUACCGGUGGCGAAGGCGACUUUCUGGCCAUAAUCUGACGCUGAGGUACGAAAGCGUGGGUAGCAAACAGG
rnacentral:rRNA from 1 species